GAUGAACGCUGGCGGCGUGCCUAAUACAUGCAAGUCGAGCGAACAGACGAGGAGCUUGCUCCUCUGACGUUAGCGGCGGACGGGUGAGUAACACGUGGAUAACCUACUUAUAAGACUGGGAUAACUUCGGGAAACCGGAGCUAAUACCGGAUAAUAUAUUGAACCGCAUGGUUCAAUAGUGAAAGACGGUUUUGCUGUCACUUAUAGAUGGAUCCGCGCCGCAUUAGCUAGUUGGUAAGGUAACGGCUUAUCAAGGCAACGAUGCGUAGCCGACCUGAGUGGGGGAUCGGCCACACUGGACCUGGAACACGGUCCAGACUCCUACGGGAGGCAGCAGUAGGGAAUCUUCCGCAAUGGGCGAGAACCUGACGGAGCAACGCCGCGUGAGUGAUGAAGGUCUUCGGAUCGUAAAACUCUGUUAUUAGGUAAGAACAAAUGUGUAAGUAACUAUGCACGGCGUGACGGUACCUAAUCAGAAAGCCACGGCUAACUACGUG
rnacentral:rRNA from 1 species